ACUGAGGGUGUCACCCGGGACCGCGGCUCAGGAACCCCAGACGCACGGGCCUUGUGCUGUCGCUGCCGUGGCACCCCUUCUAGAAGGACUCUAUUCUCUAUAACAGAAGUGGGAGCCUUGGACAACUGAACGCCUAUCUCUAGCUCAAGAAAUGUCAGCUCUUUUUUUUUUUUUGAGACUGUCACCCAGUCGGGAGUACAGUGGCGCCAUCUUGGCUCUCUGUAACCUCCACCUCCUGGGUUCAAGCGAUUCUCCUGCCUCAGCCUCCUGAGUAGCUGGGGCUACAGGUAUGCACCAUCACUCCUGGCUAAUUGUUGUAUUUUUAGUAGAUAAUGGGGUUUCACCAUGUUGGCCAGGGUGGUCUCAAACUCCUGACCUCAGGUGAUCUGCCUGCCUCGGCCUCCCAAAGUGCUGGGAUUACAGACGUGAGCCACCAUGCCCAGCCAAGAAAUGUCAAUUCUUUAUCGUAGCCUGGCUUUCCAUAUUUCUCACUAGGGUUUUUAUUCUCUAGUUUGUAAAUCACAUUUGGCGUUUGUAGAUCACUCCUUCCCUUUUAGUGGCAUUCUCUAUUAGGUGUCCAUCUCCCAAUAUGAAGAAACAGUUUUCUGCUUUUUCCUCCUUUAUCUGAUCCAUUUACAGAUUUAUUACAUUUAUAAUAGGCUAGGUAUUGGGGAUACAAAAAUGAAUAAGAUAUGGUCUGUUUUCAAAGGUAUGCAGAAACUUUUCUAUAUAUUCCUACUGACUUGUAUUUGUAUUUCUUGAAUUAAAAACAAUCCUGGCUGUGUUUUUUUUUUUUUUUUUUUGCUCUUAGUGAAUCUUUGUUUCUUCUUUUCAUUAUGGCAUUCCAGUUGAGUUUCACCACGCAUUAUCAUGAGAAUAAAUAAUUUCACUGACUUUA
rnacentral:lncRNA from 1 species